CAAGUUCCUUUUGAUCGCAGGAGCCGCCUCCACCCCCCACCACGGGGCUCAGACGCUCACACCACAAGCCGCGCGGUCCGCCCACUACCCCCCAAACAGGUCGGGUCGCUUUUCACCCCAGCCUCUCGAGGGCGGGGGACGGGAAACACGAACCCACCAAUGGUGCCGCACCACGCACCCCCUCUACCCAAUGGGGACUCGUAGGGGGGACCGCAGUGUACCAAUCGGAGCUGUCCAGGUGCGGUGCCCGAUGCCCGAAGCGUGGCUCCCUCCGAUUGGUCGGCCGUAGCCUCUCUUCUCCAAUCAAAUGGCUCCGCGGGCCCCUCUCACACGGAACCGCCCCUUUGCCUGGGUAGCUUUGGCCUCUCGGGGAAACGGCCCAAUGAACGUCAGCACUGAACACAUCCCUCGUUUUGGAGAGGUCGUAGAAGAACCACUUCCGGAUCCUUGAGCGCGUUUAUUCCGUGACCAGGGGAAACGGUAGUCAUGGCAACGGUUCUUCGUUUUCCCCGUCUACGCGUGGGGUCACGUUGGGAAUGAUUCCCGCGCGCCUUUUCGCAGUCAGCUUUCUCUUUGGUAGUGCAUCCCCGAGAAGAGAAACACGUGAGAGGUUGAAAAUCCCCGGAGUACUUUUUAGAUGGAGGUGGUGAGGAACUACAGUUCCCGGCAUGCAACGUACCAGGGGGUACUCUGUAUUGAAUGCUGGGAAUCGUAGUCUUUGGCUUGUGAACCAGCUGCGUAGUUUAGCCGGGCCGCAUUUCCCAACGUAUCUUUGUGGGAAUUACGCGCUGCGUGUUUUAGAAUUUACGUCUUCUGAUUGUAGUAAAGGUCUUUAUUUAUUCCAGGCCAGGACUCUCCAGGGUACACAGCCUUUAGAAACAGGCCUGGAAAGCUCCGACACCUUGGCCGCGGCCGCCUUGUGUUCGGGGGGGUCGGCCUCUAUGAGCCUGGGCUCCGCCUCCGGCUGCUCUGAACAAGUAAGCAACCAGUUCUGAAAUUGCAAUUCCAUCUUAAGGAGUCAGCGGUGGCUUAAGUUCUUGUUACACCUGGAGGGAACUGAGAAUGAGACAUGUCCUCCAAAAUAGAUCCGUUGCUUGUGAGUAGACGUUUCAUCAGAUGGUGGUGGGAAUUUAUGAAGGCUUGGCUCUGCCCCUUUAAGACAGGAUCCCUGUCUUUGCGCCCUGUGCAGGGAAAGGGCAGCUUAUUAGACCCCAGCCUUGCUUUUUCUCACCUGGGGUGCCCAGCUCUUCUGACCUUUUACCCAUUAUUUAUUCUCACUUCCCAUCUUGGUCUAGUUCCUCUGGAACUUACACUCCAGGCUGUUACUAAACUCCCUACCUUUGGAUCUGAUUCCCUUGCUCUCUAAUUCUAGUUUUUCCCUUUGACACUGUAUGUCCAUGGACACUACUGGAAACAACUACCUUUUGUUGUUGUUGGUAAGUCUCUUCUUGGAAGAGAAAACCAUACUGGCAAAGGGGUGCCAUUAUGGGCAAUAGAUAGCUCACCUGGUGGACAGGCGUAGUCCAGCAGUGAGGAGGCAGGGGGAGUGCAGACCAGGGAGACUAAGGCAGGAAAGCAGUUGGAAUUAGGGAGCUUCAGGAAUGGGGGUGAGCACCAAGGCGGAUUUGUUGGUUGGUUGAUUGGUUUAUUCAUUCAUUCAUUUAUUUAUUCAGCAAGUGUUGAUUUGGUAUGUGCCAGGUGUUACGCAAGGUGCUGGCUGUACAGGGGUGAGGAUUAUAGAUAUGGUCUCUGUGCAGAGCUUGAGCAGACAGUAAUGACGGAGUUGCCUAAGUGCUAUAUCUUAUCUGAAGUGAAGCAAAGAUGUAAGAGAAUGAGUGCAGAAGACUGCGGAAGGGACUUUUUGGAGUGAUGGAAGUGCUUUUGCUUUUGAUUUUGGUGGUGGUAAAAUCACAUGGCGGUAAAACUCAACACUUAAAGAAGAGUGGAUUUUGUUAUAUGUAAAUUAUACCUUGAUUAAAAAAAAAACUGAAAGCAACUAUCAUUCUGAACAGCAAAACACUAAAACCUGUUUCACUAGGAAUCAGGAACCAGACAGACAUGCCUGUUUUUGUCAGUAUGGUCCCACACUGUUUUGGAGGGUCUAAGAUAAGAAUAUGAAGUAAUUGACAUUAAUUUUAUUUUGGAAUUCCUCCUUAUUGGUGAAAUAACUGUGUAUCCUGGAAACCCAAAAGACUCUAGUUAGGGAGAAAACAUUAUAAUGAGUAUGAAAAUCUGGUAAAUUAUUGACUGUAAGAUAAAUAUAUAAACACCAAUAGACUUGCUCUAAACUUGCCAAAAGCACACAGAAGUGGAAAUUUAAAAGACUUCAUUUAGGUGGCUCAGUUGGUUAAGUGGCCGACUUCUUGAUUUCAGCUCAGGUCUUGAUCUCAGGGUUAUGAGUUUAAGCCUCACAUUGAGCUCCACACUCGGCAUGGAGCUUACUUAAAAAAAAAAAAUCCAGCUCAGAAGAAAAUGAGAGCACCUGUGAGGACACACGAGGGAUGCAGGAAACCUUUGCAGAUUGAGCAUCCAGAAAAUACAGCAGAAAGCCUAGGGUGUUUACCAGGCCUCCUGCCUGCUGGGCCCUGGAAUCCAAUUUUUGUCUUUCUAGCGCUGGUACAAUAAGGCAGCUGCUUAUCAGUAUUGCGCUUUCUUCCAAGAAUAUAGGCUCCAUAUGGCAUAAAAAUCAGCAAGUACUUUGAGGGGAAAAGCAACAGAGAAUGUAGGGCUCACUUCUCAAAGCUUCCUUUCUUUCUGGAAUCUUGUCUCCUCAAAUCCUGAUGCCUUUAAACAAGCUGUCAAGUACCUAGCUUCUCUAGCUGUUCUGGCGGAACGGUUGUCUGCCUCACGUUGUCCGGCAUAGUAGAUUGUAGGAGGGGAUGUGUCUCCACAAAGCCGGCACCGAACUCCUUGGUCCUAUUUGAAGGUUUCGGGGUAAAAAAAAAAAAAGAUUUUAGCUAAGACAUUAAACAGC
rnacentral:lncRNA from 1 species